AGGCCCCCGUGCAGCUGAUGCUGUGCAGUGUGAGGCCAACACAGGAGGGCAGAGGAACCCUCCAUGACACCCAGGGAAGAGCCUGCCCACUCCUCUCUUGAGCCUGCCUGGAGGCACAGCU
rnacentral:snoRNA from 13 species